UUUUCUUGAUUAGAUCUUGGAUCUCUUCCUUGUUGCUAACUGAGGUCCCGGUUGAAGUGAGGGGAGGUGAGGUUCCAUUCUUGCUGUGGAAUUGUGUUUGGUUCCGGCAGUAACAAUCACCUCAAUCCAGCAUCAACAGUAGGUUCGAUCUGCUCUGUUCUAUUUGUGAACUUUCUGAUUUCGGCAGUAAACCAUCCAGCAACAACAACAACUGGAUUUGAGGUUGAGGCCGUCAGGAGAGAUUCCAGUCGCUAGCCCCG